CAUCUUGGUGGGAUUGGUAUGGAAUAUGUGUGAGCGUUUAGCAGCUAAUUAGUUUGUUUCGUUGUGAGUUAAUCUCCCUGUGUAGUGGAUGGGUCCGAGUGCAGGGUCAGCUGACCGAGUUAUAAAUACUGUGGGGAAUAUGAGAGCAUGUUUUGGCUGUAAACCUACCUGAGGUGCCAUGAUGAGUUGAGAAAAGGCCCAUCCAAAGAAUGCAUGGCAUGAAAACAACACUGCAUGGGAUUUUGCCAGCCAACCCUGGAACAAAUUUGUUGUCGUUCCUCUCUCCUUCUCCCCACCUCCUCUUGUUGAACUCCGCUGACCCGGGGGCCUAGACGCAGACGGAUAUCAAUGUGCCUGUCCCAAAACAUGACCCAGGCACAUGGUUGCCUGACAGGGAUCAAAGGUCACGUCAGUAAAAUAUGACUCUAAAACUAGUUCAGUCUUUGCAGACACGUAGCCUGAAGGGGGAACAGGAAAGUAUCUUUUUUCUUUUUAACCAGGAGCAUGCACUUGAAUUUGGGGAGCAGUGUGCAUGGGAGAAAAAAAUCUUGCAAGAUCUAUCUGUGUUUGCAUGAUAUUGAGUGUUUAUUUACAUACCACAAAAUUGCCACAGGAAGGCAAAAAAAUAUUUAUAUAAAUCUUGUUUGUGAUCUAAACGUACAAGGGUAAGACACAUGAAAAUACCUGACUCAUUUAUUCAUAGCACAAAGUUCAGUGUCAUUUUUCAGCAGCUGUUGAUGAAGUGUGCACUGCACACAAUCCGAGAAACAGACUAUUGAAUGAAUUAAUUGAAUGUACAUGUGAGCUAAACAUAGUGAACUUUGAACUGCAGUCUGCAUGGGACUCAAUUGAGAGGUAUAUAUUUAAACUGCAGGUGGUAUGCAGUCUUUGCGUAAUAAUCACCGAACUUCAGCUGACCCUGAUGCAUCAAAUAUACUGUGGUGUCAAACUGCCAAUAACGUGUUGUCCUGUACAGAUAAGGCGGGUCUGCUCUUUUCAGCACGAGAUGAUAUUUAACCUUAAGUGUGAAUAACCUGAUGUGUGUGUGCUGGUUGUCUAACUAUAAAUUAUUUUUGUUCUUAGGUCUGCUUAGAUGUCAAUGAGACUAGCUGAUUACAUAAAAAGUGUGAAUAACCAGACAUGAAACACGUAAAGCUGAGUCAUUUUUCAAGCAAAAAUACCAAACCUUCCCUUAUUUGUAAAUUGACACAUUUGGGGUUUUUUGGGAUAUUUUAAAUACUGUCUGACAUUGUGUAAACCAAAGAAGUACUGAAUUAAUCUAAGAAAAAGUCAACUUAAAAGUCAAACUAUCUUGUCAGUGCUAGUCCCAAGGCACACCCAAUGACAUGGUCUAAAAGGUACCAUUUUGGUUAGGUCACCAGUUUAAUUUGAGCAAGCAGCAUUGUGACAUGCAUAUAUUUCUGAAUGUUAAACUUCCCCGUGUAACAUUAAAACAUGGUUAUUUCAGAGCA